rnacentral:rRNA from 1 species
AUUGAACGCUGGCGGCAGGCCUAACACAUGCAAGUCGAACGAGUGGCGGACGGGUGAGUAAUGUCUGGGAAACUGCCUGAUGGAGGGGGAUAACUAAUGGAAACGGUAGCUAAUACCGCAUACCAUCAGAUGUUCCCAGAUGGGAUUAGCUAGUUGGUGGGGUAACGGCUCACCAAGGCGACGAUCCCUAGCUGGUCUGAGAGGAUGACCAGCCACACUUGAACUGAGACACGGUCCAUACUCCUACGGGAGGCAGCAGUGGGGAAUAUUGCACAAUGGGCGCAAGCCUGAUGCAGACAUGCCGCGUGUAUGAAGAAGUCCGUCGGGUUGUAAAGUACUUUCAGCGGGGAGUCGUUACCCGCAGAAGAAGCAACGGCGAACUCCGUGCCAGCAGCCGCGGUAAUUC